AUUGAACGCUGGCGGCAGGCCUAACACAUGCAAGUCGAACGGUAACAGGAAGAAGCUUGCUUCUUUGCUGACGAGUGGCGGACGGGUGAGUAAUGUCUGGGAAACUGCCUGAUGGAGGGGGAUAACUACUGGAAACGGUAGCUAAUACCGCAUAACGUCGCAAGACCAAAGAGGGGGACCUUCGGGCCUCUUGCCAUCGGAUGUGCCCAGAUGGGAUUAGCUAGUAGGUGGGGUAACGGCUCACCUAGGCGACGAUCCCUAGCUGGUCUGAGAGGAUGACCAGCCACACUGGAACUGAGACACGGUCCAGACUCCUACGGGAGGCAGCAGUGGGGAAUAUUGCACAAUGGGCGCAAGCCUGAUGCAGCUAUGCCGCGUGUAUGAAGAAGGCCUUCGGGUUGUAAAGUACUUUCAGCGGGGAGGAAGGGAGUAAAGUUAAUACCUUGGCUCAUUGACGUUACCCGCAGAAGAAGCACCGGCUAACUCCGUG
rnacentral:rRNA from 1 species